GGGGGGAGCGCAGGAUCACUGGCUGUGUCUGCUCCAGCGCCCUGGGAUCCGGGACCUGUGCUGCUGGAAUCACGUUCUAGGGCCGCAGCUCCCG
rnacentral:pre_miRNA from 1 species